rnacentral:rRNA from 1 species
UUGACCUCAAAUCAGGCGGGACUACCCGCUGAACUUAAGCAUAUCAUA